rnacentral:lncRNA from 1 species
AUGGGACCCCCACCACCACCAGGCACUUUUUUCACUUUCCACCACCGAGAACCCGAUGCCUUCCUUUCCCACUCGAUCAGAUUGAUCAGUAAAAUUGCAGAUGUGAACGCUCGUGAUAGAUUUUCUUGGAAUCUUAGGGUUCGAAUAAAUUGCAGAUGGAAUAAUCCCGAUUCCCGGGGAAAUCCGACACCCGGGCCGUGUGCGCGCAAAGCGAAAGUAGGAACCCAGAAGCGCGGCAGGGAAGCGGGCGAGGUCAGCCCGGUGCCCGCGGUCGCCGAGCGCGCAGCCCGGGGACAGCCGCCAGCCGGGCCGCCGACCCAGGCCAGACGCCCGGGCGGCCGCGCUCAGUUCCCAGGGCUCCCAAGAAAGGCCCGGCCUCCCCUCCCGUCUCCUGCCAGGAGCGGAGUUCGGGUGGGAGGAAUGCCCGAGCAUCCUCUCGGGUUAGACAGCCUGCGUCCCCGCUCCAAGGAGACCCCGGGGGAUGGCGGGACCGGCCGGCGAGGCGCAGAGGGCGCAGAGGGCGCAGAGGGCCCGAGGCCCCGGAGGCGGCCCCCUCCCGGCGCCGCGGCGUGGCCGUGCCCCGCACACAGCGUCGCUGCACCGCCACGACGGCCCGGGAAGCACCUCCAUGGAGCAGGACAAAAAAGCAGCCCUCAAGAUGGAGCCCACGCAGGGGGAAUCUCAGAGAAAGCCCACCCAUCCCUGAUCAGUUCUGAUGCUAUCUCUGGGUUUGUGAUGGAAGGACUGAGAUUUCUCUGACCUUGGACCCUUGAAGAGUCUAUAGGAAGGGAAGCAGGUCUUGGCCGCAAAGCCCUUGACAUGCAUCCGGGCUCCACCAAGAAACCACCGUUUCCCAAUGACAUUGGGGGAAGUCCCCUGCAUCUUCAGUUUCCUCAUCUGCCCAAGGGAGGAGGAUUGUAAAGAAGACUCUUAACAUCUCCAACCCGGGGCUCUAAGUGUGAGGGAAGGCAGCACACGGAGAUUCUUGGACUUCAAAGGACCCUGGGGGCACUUAGUUUCACCUUGAGAAAGGUGCACAUCUCUUUCUGAAAUGCGGUCCUUUGCUAAGCAGUUUGGUAGUAGAAUUAGGCACGCAGACCCUGGAAACAGGCUAUCCAGGCUCAAAUCUGACCUAGACCUGCAGUAUACUACCCAUGUGACCUUGGGCUACUUUUACUCAGUCUCUCUGUGCCUCAAUUUCCUCAUCUCUGAAAUGGAGAUUAAUAGCAACACCUAUCUCACAGGGCACUGGAGGGUUUAACUGAGCUCCUGCAUGUAAAGCACUUAGAAGCAUGCCUGGCACAGGGUAGCUGUUCCUAUGAGUUGCCCAAACCUCUGGAUGCAACCUCAGCCCUUGCCAGUCUUCUUGGUUCUCCUCCACUGACUGCCAUCAUUUCUGUCCCAGCACCAGUGCCAGGAUCUCUGCCUCCUCUAGGUCCCAGCUCCUGCAGGAAUGGGAUGGAGGAGGGCAGGACGCCUGUGAAUUGCCUGCUUGAUGAGUACUUUGUCGGAGGAAUCUCUUUGUGCCAGUGCUUUACUUAUUUUCUGCUAGGGAAGGAAGUGGAGUCAGUGUCUCUUCCUUUCUCCUCAAUCCUACCCAGAGAUGAGCCAGCUGCACGAAAACCUGUGCCCUUGGCUUUAAGGAGGAAGAGAGGGAGGAAGAUCUAGUUGAUCCAUCCCCACCAGGAAGGAUCCUGUUCAGAGGCAGGUAGUUUACUGCACAGAAGUAUUAAUGUUACUCUCUCUCUCUCUCUCCACACACACACACACACACACACACGCACACGCACACACUCACACUCACACCAGCUCCCUGAGGGCAGGAACUCUUCUGUUGUGUAUUCUGCUGUAUCCCAGCGCCUUAAAAUAUUGUCUGGCAUAGAACAAGCACCUCAAUAAAUAAUCAAUAGAAGGACCAGAUCUGCUUCUGUAGCAGGGUUAUUUUCCACAUUGGGAGGUGAUGGUCAGAUUGUGUAGCCAAGAAAAGAACACACUUCCAAGUUCUCCCCUUAAUAGUUUAAUUCUCUCAUUUAUCUAAAGGGGCCCCUCUUUUGACACUUCCACCACGCACACACCUCUAAGCGGUUAGGCUCCAGGAGAGACAAGAUUGCAAGGGUCUGUAUUUCAUUUACUACCUUCAAAGACAUUGGGAAAUCCAUGUGACCUCCUAGGGGUUCUGUGAUCCGCCGACGGAAAGGAGCUGGUCCACAGUUGAGGCCCCUCCUUGGUUGUUUGGUUAAAGCACAACGAGGAGACCAACUGGUGUCAGUGUUUUCUUUUCUGAGGGGGGAGGGACCUUGUUUUUUGGAAAUGCAAAAUGACAGUAACAUUGUCAUUAAAGACAUUUGCUGUUAAAAUAAUAAUCGCUCUCACUCGAGGAUACAUUUACAACAUCUCAGGCACCCAGCAAAGCGGGAGACCUUCUGCUUUCCUCACAAAGAGCCCAUGAGAUCAAUAGGCAAGCCCAUUUUACAGAUGAGGAAAUGAAGAUUUGACAAAAGUCAAACGGUUGAUAAGGGAGAGUCAGGCUUCUAACACCAUAAUCCAAAGGCUCUUCACCACCACCACCACCACCCGCUAAUUAACUCCUUUCUGCCUCCGGGUGAGUAGGAACGCAAGAGAAUUCCUGUGCGCUGCGAUUUAGGAGGAAUUAUCAGCAACUAGCUUAGGAACAAAGCUAGAAUGUUGGUAUUUUAGUCAAGAACCCUGAGUCUAAACCAAAGGCAAGGGGACCUCUUUCUCGCUUUGACACAGAAGGGAAUUUACUUAAUGUUUUCACAUCUCAGCUUCCCCUUCUGUAAAAGGGGACUAAUCUUGUUAGAUCCACCUCCUUUAGCUGGGAGGACUCCAUGAGCUAUUCUAUAUAAAUAACAUAGUUUUUUUUUUUUUUUCCUUACCACAGUCUACUACAAGGUAGUAUUCAGUAGAAUUGAACUCACUGCCCUUUGCAAACUGCUGCCUUAAAUGUUCUCAUUCUACCUACCCACGAGUUGGGAGCCUCAUCUAUUAGGAGGAAAACUAGCAGUUUGUCCAAGGUGGCACAAUAACCCAGGAGAAUCAGCUUAGAGCUCAAGCCAGAAGUUCCCGUGAGGAAGAGGAGUGUUUGCAGAUGGUUUUGCAGAAAAAUGUUUCCGUUUCCCUUUUUUAAAAAAGGAUGUAAACAUCUUCCCGGGCUCGUCUGACAUCAGUCUGUCAGUGAUGAAUCAUCAGGAGCAUGAAGACUUAUACUAGGUAGGUCACCAUCUUCAAUUUUAUUCAACCUCCUGGUGUCCCAGCAGAGGCCUUGCAGGAGGGCCCAAGGUGUGAUGCAGUGAAGGUGACACCAGCCCCUCCAGGCCUCGGGACCCAGCCAAAAGAAGAGCAGAGCCUUAUAAUAACAGAAGCUGAGGGGUUCCUUUCUUUUUUAAAUUUUAAAGCAAUUUGCAUAGAUUCUUUUUUUUUUUUUUUUUUUUGGAUAACAAAAGUAGGUAGGACCAGCCUCUUCCUGCUGGUUUUUGCUUGUGAAGGAGCCCUCUUAUAUAAUGGAACGGAGGGGAAGGGUCCUCUGGCUCAAACUGGUACAUCAGUUUGAGCCAAUGUUAAAAAAAACUCUAUCACCAAUACUUUUCAAAUUUAUGUGCGUUUGAUUUUUUAAAUCAAUUUUUAAAAGAUUUUACUUAUUUAUUCAUGAGCUACCCAGAGAGAGAGAGGCAGAGACAUAGGCAGAGGGAGAAGCAGGCUCCCCUCAGGGAGCCUGAUGUGGGACUGAAUCCCUGAACUCCAGGUUCACGCCCUGAGCCGAAAGCAGACAUCGGAUAUUUUAUCAAUUAAUCCAGAAACUAUUUCGUUUCUUGAGUGCCUACUAAGCACUUGGCAGUACAGCUUGACAGUGUUAGAAGGGGAAGUGAUAUAGGGGGAAGUCCUCCAGACCUUCUGGAGGAGGAGGUCCUAGUACUUUUUGGAGGCAGAAACUUUAGCAUGAGUAAAAUCGCACAGGUAAGAAAUUUGGAGACUACACAGAGAAGAUGAUGAGAAGGAACACAGAAGGGGAGCAGUGUGGCUUCAAGGAAAAAGCCAUCUUCCCCUUUUUAAUCUACUACUUCUAAUUUGCUAUGAAUCUAGAGACCAAAUAUCAGGGAUGUGAGAGCUGCGUGAAAAAUAAAGCACAAGGACAUAAACGACCUCGGAGUGAGCAUCUGAGAGUGGAAGGCAGGAACGGAGGGCAGGGUCUGGGCCACUCAGAAGAAGCUCUGUGUACCAGUACAGCUUGUCAGUGUCUUGGUUGGGUGGGGUACACGCUAACACCUGUCCCCACGCAGAAUCCAGGAGCUAGGCACCCAGGAACAGAAAGAGAGCCUAUGGACAGAGACAGGAUCCUAUGCCCCUGCACUGCCACUAAAUCACAGCCCACCCACCUUCACCACAGCAACCACCGUUUAGCCCAGGGCCUUAAUUUAGGUGUUAGCCAGGGAGGCAAGGAGGGAGUGCCCACAGCUGAUUCUCCUUAGAAAGCGCACACCCGCGUGUGUGCGCGUGCACACACACACACACACACACACACACACACUCUCCUCCAGCUUUUCAGGAGGAGCCUCUGGGCCUGAGGAGCUAAAUUCUAACUGGGGGCUCCAACAGCCAGAAUCUGAGAGCAGUGAAGGAAGAGCCAGAGCAGAGCUACCGGCGCAGAAAGUGGAGACCAAGAGGCUAUCGGAAGAGAGAUGGAUGAGCUAGACGCCCUCGGGAAAGGCCGGCGACCUCAGCAGGCGGUCACGGGGCGCCCUUGCUGUCUGUGUCCUGCUCCCCCCGCCCCCCCCCGCCC